rnacentral:rRNA from 1 species
UACGUAGGGUGCGAGCGUUGUCCGGAAUUACUGGGCGUAAAGAGCUCGUAGGUGGUUUGUCGCGUUGUUCGUGAAAACCGGGGGCUUAACCCUCGGCGUGCGGGCGAUACGGGCAGACUUGAGUACUGCAGGGGGAGACUGGAAUUCCUGGUGUAGCGGUGGAAUGCGCAGAUAUCAGGAGGAACACCGGUGGCGAAGGCGGGUCUCUGGGCAGUAACUGACGUGGAGGAGCGAAAGCGUGGGGAGCGAACAGG